UUCGGGGGUACACGAGUGGCGAACGGGUGAGUAACACGUGGGUGACCUGCCCUGUACUUCGGGAUAAGCCUGGGAAACUGGGUCUAAUACCGGAUAUGACCUUCUCCUGCAUGGGGGUUGGUGGAAAGCUUUUGCGGUACAGGAUGGGCCCGCGGCCUAUCAGCUUGUUGGUGGGGUAAUGGCCUACCAAGGCGACGACGGGUAGCCGGCCUGAGAGGGCGACCGGCCACACUGGGACUGAGACACGGCCCAGACUCCUACGGGAGGCAGCAGUGGGGAAUAUUGCACAAUGGGCGAAAGCCUGAUGCAGCGACGCCGCGUGAGGGAUGACGGCCUUCGGGUUGUAAACCUCUUUCAGUAGGGACGAAGCGCAAGUGACGGUACCUACAGAAGAAGCACCGGCCAACUACGUGCCAGCAGCCGCGGUAAUACGUAGGGUGCGAGCGUUGUCCGGAUUUACUGGGCGUAAAGAGCUCGUAGGCGGUUUGUCACGUCGUCUGUGAAAACCCGAGGCUUAACCUCGGGCCUGCAGGCGAUACGGGCAGACUUG
rnacentral:rRNA from 1 species